rnacentral:lncRNA from 1 species
CUCCACGUAGGAGUUACUUUCCAUUAUACUUCCUGCCAAAGUGAAUUCAAAAACAUUUUUCCUCAUUUUGUCUUCUUGCCUUUGUAUAUAAUGUAUAAACCAUUCCUGUUUAAAAAUUCCAGCUACAAAACGUAACAAACCCAUAUCCAAAAACAUGAGAAGCCAUAUAUAAGACCCGAUCCUACCCCCAUUUAAAAUAACUCGUGUAGCACAUGAAUUAGCCAGAAACUUAGACCAUAUAACAUCUCUUGCCUUAUGCCACCAUAGUAUAAACCAUAAAGUACUUAUAACCUCUC